rnacentral:rRNA from 1 species
UCACGCCCCGGGUGCGUCGCAGCCCCGGAACCAGGCGCCCGCCGGAGGGACCAACCAAACUCUUUCUGUAGUCCCCUCGCGGACGUUAUUUCUUACAGCUCUGAGCAAAAAUUCAAAAUGAAUCAAAACUUUCAACAACGGAUCUCUUGGUUCUGGCAUCGAUGAAGAACGCAGCGAAAUGCGAUAAGUAAUGUGAAUUGCAGAAUUCAGUGAAUCAUCGAAUCUUUGAACGCACAUUGCGCCCGCCAGUAUUCUGGCGGGCAUGCCUGUCCGAGCGUCAUUUCAACCCUCGAACCCCUCCGGGGGUCCGGCGUUGGGGAUCGGGAACCCCUAAGACGGGAUCCCGGCCCCGAAAUACAGUGGCGGUCUCGCCGCAGCCUCUCAUGCGCAGUAGUUUGCACAACUCGCACCGGGAGCGCGGCGCGUCCACGUCCGUAAAACACCCAACUUCUGAAAUGUUGACCUCGGAUCAGGUAGGAAUACC